ACGGAAGGCAGCAGCUAAGAAUAUUCCGCAAUGGACGAAAGUCUGACGGAGCGACGCCGCGUGGAUGAUGAAGGUCGGAAGAUUGUAAAAUCCUUUUAUGACUGAGGAAUAAGCAGUGUGAGAGAAACGCAUUGUGGUGACUGUAGGUCAUGAAUAAGCAACGGCUAAUUACGUGCCAGCAGCCGCGGUAACACGUAAGUUGCGAGCGUUGUUCGGAAUUAUUGGGCGUAAAGGGCAUGUAGGCGGUUUUGCAAGCUUGGUGUGAAAUCUCGGAGCUCAACUCCGAAAUUGCGUUGAGAACUGCAUAACUAGAGUCACUGAGGGGCAAUCAGAAUUCCAGGUGUAGGGGUGAAAUCUGUAGAUAUCUGGAAGGAUACCAAUGGCGAAGGCAGGUUACCAGCAGAUGACUGACGCUGAGGUGCGAAGGUGCGGGGAGCAAACAGGAUUAGAUACCCUGGUA
rnacentral:rRNA from 1 species